rnacentral:rRNA from 1 species
GACGAACGCUGGCGGCGUGCUUAACACAUGCAAGUCGAGCGGAAAGGCCCUUCGGGGUACUCGAGCGGCGGACGGGUGAGUAACACGUGAGUAAUCUGCCCUUCACUCUGGGAUAGCCACCGGAAACGGUGAUUAAUACCGGAUAUGACCACCGUGGGCAUCCACUGGUGGUGGAAACUUUUUUGGGUGGGGGAUGUGCUCGCGGCCUAUCAGCUUGUUGGUGGGGUAAUGGCCUACCAAGGCUUCGACGGGUAGCCGGCCUGAGAGGGUGACCGGCCACACUGGGACUGGGACACGGCCCAGACUCCUACGUGAGGCAGCAGUGGGGAAUAUUGGACAAUGGGCGGAAGCCUGAUCCAGCAACGCCGCGUGAGGGAUGACGGCCUUCGGGUUGUAAACCUCUUUCAGCACCGACGAAGCGCAAGUGACGGUAGGUGUAGAAGAAGGACCGGCCAACUACGUGCCAGCCGCCGCGGUAACAC